rnacentral:tRNA from 1 species
CAGGCAGUAGCUCAAUGGUUGAGCUCUCCCUUCGUAUGCGGGAAGACCUGGGUUCGAUUCCCGGCUGCUUUC